GGGCGUAUAGCUCAGCGGUAGAGCACCUCGCUUACAACGAGGCGGCCGGGGGUUCGAUCCCCUCUGCGCCCA
rnacentral:tRNA from 1 species